rnacentral:rRNA from 1 species
GGACUACUGGGGUAUCUAAUCCUGUUUGAUCCCCACGCUUUCGUGCAUCAGCGUCAGUUACAGUUUCGUCAGCUGCCUUCGCAAUCGGUGUUCUGUGUCAUAUCUAUGCAUUUCACCGCUACAUGACACAUUCCGCCAACGGCAACUGUACUCAAGUCCUGCAGUAUCAAUGGCAAUGCGACAGUUAAGCUGCCGGAUUUCACCACUGACUUACAGAACCGCCUACGCACCCUUUAAACCCAAUAAAUCCGGAUAACGCUUGCAUCCUUCGUAUUACCGCGGCUGCUGGCAC